CUAGGAAUAUUGGACAAUGGGCGAAAGCCUGAUCCAGCCAUGCCGCGUGAGUGAAGACGGCCUUCGGGUUGUAAAGCUCUUUUAGUUAUGAAGAUGAUGACUGUAGUAACAGAAAAAGCACCGGCUAACUUCGUGCCAGCAGCCGCGGUAAUACGAAGGGUGCUAGCGUUGUUCGGAUUUACUGGGCGUAAAGCGUAUGUAGGCUGUUUGAUUGGUCAGAUGUGAAAGCCUGGGGCUCAACCCCAGAACUGCAUUUGAUACCGUCAAGCUGGAGUAUGAUAGAGGAUAGUGGAAUUCCGAGUGUAGAGGUGGAAUUCGUAGAUAUUCGGAGGAACACCAGUGGCGAAAGCGGCUAUCUGGAUCAUUACUGACGCUGAGAUACGAAAGUGUGGGGAGCAAACA
rnacentral:rRNA from 1 species